UCUACUGAGAAUUCUUACUCCUGCACAAAAUGGCUUAGAAAUCCUAUCCUUCUGACUAGCCAAUAGCGGAUCCAGAUUUAUGACCAGGUUAUGAGUGUGGGUGUUCCUUUUUUUUCCUGGUAGACUUUGAUAUGGUUGUGGAAGUCCUACUAGCUUGAGAUCUAGCUUGUUCUUCAUUGAGGUGUAGUAUUGAAGGCGGUUUGCUCUAGAGUUUAGUUUGUGAGGGGUACUUAUUGUUUUGGCCUUGUAUUUUUGCCUUGG
rnacentral:lncRNA from 1 species